rnacentral:misc_RNA from 1 species
AGUAUAUGCAUUAUCUGACAAACUGGGAGGGAAAACAGUGCAUCAGAUCAAACAUAUGAGAUGAAUCUAAGAGUCUAAAAUAAUCAAUACUAGCAACAAUGAAAGCAAAAGGCAGUUGCUAAAAAUAUUUUAGUGGUAACAAUUUGUCAGUUUAAACCAUCUUGCUCACACACAUGCACAUAUACACAGUAAAUAAACUUGUAGAUGACAAAGAUAAUAAAGAUACAAGUAAGAAACAUGGUAUUGCAUAUGCAUAAGAAACAAAAAAGGGACAUUAAUAAGUAAUGAGUUGA